ACAGGUAACUAUAUGUAAGAAUCAUCUGAGGCCAGGGUGGUAUUAAACAUGUUUAAUACCCUACACAGCAUGGACACCAGGCAAUCCAAAUGGAGGCUGGCCAGAGAACACAUCGGCCCUGCCGAAGAGCUACCUGUGUGAGCUGUAGUAUCAGCCUCCAGUUCCUCUUUACCGUCUGUGGAUUAAAUGAUCACUUUUCAGAGUUUUCAUGUGUCAUCUCAUCAUCAAUUCCUCCAGGGUUCUGUGCCCUCCAGGUGAUGGCAGGCGCCUCUGCUUCAUACCAUUUCAUCCAGGGCUGCUUUGCACAUUGACCUUACCUGCUGUAGCACGGCUGCUUUUCCCAGCUCCACAUGGUUAUGAAUCCCAGCCUAGCACUAACGUGGAGUGCCGCGUGAAUGAACGAUGCCUUGCCCUUGUGUGAUGCAAAAGGCUGUCAGUUUGGCUCCUGAAGGCAUUUGAGCUCUUUCUUGCCCUGGAGACUCAAUGCUUUUAUGUCUGAAGGUUCAUAAGUCACAAGAUAUCUGGAAUUAGGUGGGAGACUACGAUGGUGACAUUUGGAAGAACCUGAGUAGGGAGGAGUGACGCUUGAUUAUUUUUGUCUACUUUGCUAACAACUCAGAGUUCUGUAAAGUCUGGAUUGCACUAUGAAAAGUUUGUGUGCUCAGUGAAAUGUUGUCCAAUUGGCCAAUCUACUUGGUCUUGGGAAAUAUCCUAGAAGCUUGGCAAGAAAAUGUUCUCAAGAGAGCACAAGUGCUGCCAAUUUCCAAUUGGCCAAGACACAUUACAAGGACAACCUUCUCUCCGAGCAACCUGGCAUUUCCACUCCAACUGGAACCUGCAACACAAAGAUGCACGUGGGAGAAAGACUAAAUAAACAAACCUGUCAGAUUUCCACUCCAGGCAUCCAGAAAUGGGUAAAUCAUCUAUAGAAGCACAUGGGAAAACCCACCACGCUUUCUCAGAAAACCCACCACGCUUUCUCAGAAACCAGCUGCUCAGUUCUUGCAUAAAGAGGAUGCUGAAUUAGAUUUUUUUAAAACCUUCCUGAUGAAACCGGCUCUCCUCUGGCUCUCUCCCUCAUCUCUCCUCUCCAUUC